rnacentral:rRNA from 1 species
GUAGGUGGCAAGCGUUGUCCGUAAUUAUUGGGCGUAAAGCGCGCGCAGGCGGUUCUUUAAGUCUGAUGUGAAAGCCCACGGCUCAACCGUGGAGGGUCAUUGGAAACUGGAGAACUUGAGUACAGAAGAGGAAAGCGGAAUUCCACGUGUAGCGGUGGAAUGCGUAGAGAUGUGGAGGAACACCAGUGGCGAAGGCGGCUUUCUGGUCUGUAACUGACGCUGAGGCGCGAAAGCGUGGGGAGCAAACAGGAUUAGAUACCCUGGUAGUCCACGCCGUAAACGAUGAGUGCUAAGUGUUAGGGGGUUUCCGCCCCCCUUAGUGCUGCAGCUAACGCAUUAAGCACUCCGCCUGGGAGUACGGCCGCAAGGCUG